rnacentral:tRNA from 2 species
UGCUUGAGUUCGAGGCAGCAUCAGCCUUCCAAGCUGAAUACGAGGGUUCGAUUCCGUUCAUAC